rnacentral:rRNA from 1 species
UACGGGGGGGGCAAGCGUUGUUCGGAAUUACUGGGCGUAAAGGGUUCGUAGGUGGCUUGUUAAGUCAGACGUGAAAUCCCUCGGCUCAACCGGGGAACUGCGUCUGAGACUGAUGAGCUCGAGUGCAGGAGAGGAACGCGGAAUUCCAGGUGUAGCGGUGAAAUGCGUAGAGAUCAGGAGGAACACCGGUGGCGAAGGCGGCCAACUGGGCCGUCACUGACGCUGAGGCGCGAAAGCUCGGGGAGCGAACGGG